GACGAACGCUGGCGGCGUGCUUAACACAUGCAAGUCGAACGGAAAGGCCCUUCGGGGUACUCGAGUGGCGAACGGGUGAGUAACACGUGGGUGAUCUGCCCUGCACUCUGGGAUAAGCCUGGGAAACUGGGUCUAAUACCGGAUAUGAUCAUGCGCCUCAUGGUGUGUGGUGGAAAGCUUUUGCGGUGUGGGAUGGGCCCGCGGCCUAUCAGCUUGUCGGUGGGGUAAUGGCCUACCAAGGCGACGACGGGUAGCCGGCCUGAGAGGGUGACCGGCCACACUGGGACUGAGAUACGGCCCAGACUCCUACGGGAGGCAGCAGUGGGGAAUAUUGCACAAUGGGCGCAAGCCUGAUGCAGCGACGCCGCGUGGGGGAUGACGGCUCGGUGUAACGUCUUCUAGUACCGUACGAAGCGUAAGUGACGGUAGGUACAGAAGAA
rnacentral:rRNA from 1 species